rnacentral:rRNA from 1 species
UACGAAGGGGGCUAGCGUUGCUCGGAAUUACUGGGCGUAAAGCGCACGUAGGCGGCUUUCUAAGUCGGGGGUGAAAUCCUGGAGCUCAACUCCAGAACUGCCUUCGAUACUGGAGAGCUUGAGUCCGGGAGAGGUGAGUGGAACUGCGAGUGUAGAGGUGAAAUGCGUAGAUAUCUGGAGGAAUACCGGUGGCGAAGGCGGCAUCCUGGACCGAGAUUGACGCUGAUGAGCGAAAGCUAGGGGAGCAAACGGG